rnacentral:rRNA from 1 species
AUGUGUUAUCCGUUCAUGUGCAAAGCAGGACGAUUACACCAUCAAUGGGUGUCGGACAUGAAAUCUUCCACCCUCCUUUGCCAGUGUUGUGUCAUGCUCGAGCACGCCAUCAACUUGUGCCGGACACGGACUCCACAUGAACUCCGUCCUUUGCCACAUAAUAGGCAUCGAGUGCUCUACGGAAGCAUCCAAUCUCGCUGUUCUACCAACUUCACCGGAACACCGACCGCCGGUGCUCCACCUGAGGUUGUUUUCAACUGGAGACAAAUCAGUGUUAUUGUCAUGCAUGGAAGAAGAGCUCGACCUUAUUGCAAACAUAUAGAUCCGCUGAUGGAUUUAAGUUUUCAUUCACCAACUACUCAAUUCCUCGGAGAUGAGGAUCGUUCUGUAGCUCAUGCGGAUCCAUCAGCAUGGAGAAGUUCGAUGAUUUUAAGGUUGGUGACUGGGUUACAGUCAAAGCAACAUUCCCGUCCCCAAAAUAGCCAUGAUACAGCCGAUGAAGUUAGGAUAGUUGCGAUUCAGGUUUGUGUGGAAAGUAAGCUGGUUUGCUCUACCCGCCAUGACUCAUUUAUUCUGUGCAUUGUGACAUUUUCCUGGGCCUUCUGUUUGCAGUGUGGCACAUACAAAGAGAAGAUUAAGAGACUAAUUUCUUAA